AGGGUUUGAUUAUGGCUCAGGACGAACGCUGGCGGCGUGCCUAAUACAUGCAAGUAGAACGCUGAUGUUUGGUGUUUACACUAGACUGAUGAGUUGCGAACGGGUGAGUAACGCGUAGGUAACCUGCCUCAUAGCGGGGGAUAACUAUUGGAAACGAUAGCUAAUACCGCAUAAGAGUAAUUAACACAUGUUAGUUAUUUAAAAGGAGCAAUUGCUUCACUGUGAGAUGGACCUGCGUUGUAUUAGCUAGUUGGUGAGGUAAAGGCUCACCAAGGCGACGAUACAUAGCCGACCUGAGAGGGUGAUCGGCCACACUGGGACUGAGACACGGCCCAG
rnacentral:rRNA from 1 species